rnacentral:rRNA from 1 species
GCAUAUCAAUAAGCGGAGGAAAAGAAACUAACAAGGAUUCCCCUAGUAACUGCGAGUGAAGCGGGAUGAGCUCAAAUUUAAAAUCUGGCGUCUUCGGCGUCCGAGUUGUAAUUUAGAGAAGCGUUUUCCGCGCCGGACCGUGUACAAGUCUCCUGGAACGGAGCGUCAUAGAGGGUGAGAAUCCCGUCUUUGACACGGACCCCCGGUGCUCUGUGAUACGCUCUCCAAGAGUCGAGUUGUUUGGGAAUGCAGCUCAAAAUGGGUGGUGAACUCCAUCUAAAGCUAAAUAUUGGCGAGAGACCGAUAGCGAACAAGUACCGUGAGGGAAAGAUGAAAAGCACUUUGGAAAGAGAGUGAAACAGUACGUGAAAUUGUUGAAAGGGAAACGCUUGAAGUCAGUCGCGUCUGCCGGAGCUCAGCCGCAAGGUGUACUCUCUGGUGGACGGGCCAGCAUCACUUUCGAUCAUCGGAAAAGGGUGAGGGGAAUGUGGCACCUCCGGGUGUGUUAUAGCCCCUUGUCGUAUACGGUGACCGGGAGUGAGGACCGCCUUUUGUAGGAUGCUGGCGUAAUGGCUUUAAACGACCCGUCUUGAAACACGGACCAAGGAGUCUAACAUGCCCGCGAGUGUUCGGGUGGAAAACCCGUGCGCGUAAUGAAAGUGAAAGUUGGGAAGGCUGUCGCGGCCUGCACCGACGCCCGGACUUGAGAUUUAUCGAAGGUUCUGCGGUAGAGCGUGUAUGUUGGGACCCGAAAGAUGGUGAACUAUGCCUGAAUAGGGUGAAGCCAGAGGAAACUCUGGUGGAGGCUCGUAGCGAUUCUGACGUGCAAAUCGAUCGUCAAAUUUGGGUAUAGGGGCGAAAGACUAAUCGAACCAUCUAGUAGCUGGUUCCUGCGA